rnacentral:misc_RNA from 1 species
CCAAUAGCGUAUAUUAAAGUUGUUGCAGUUAAAAAGCUCGUAGUUGAAUUUCGGAAUCAAUAUAUCGGUCGUGCCUCUGGUACGCACUUAUUUAUUGAUUUCUCACUUCUGACGAAUCAUAAUGUCAUUAGUUUGGUGUUAUGAGGAAUCAGGACUGUUACUUUGAAAAAAUUAGAGUGUUUAAAGCAGGCUCGCGCUUGAAUACAUUAGCAUGGAAUAAUGAAAUAGGAUGUUUGAUCUUAUUUUGUUGGUUUCUAGGAUCGACAUAAUGAUUAAUAGGGAUAGUUGGGGGCAUUAGUAUUCAAUUGUCAGAGGUGAAAUUCUUGGAUUUAUUGAAGACUAACUACUGCGAAAGCAUUUGCCAAGGAUGUUUUCAUUAAUCAAGAACGAAAGUUAGGGGAUCGAAGACGAUCAGAUACCGUCGUAGUCUUAACCAUAAACUAUGCCGACUAGGGAUCGGAUGAUGUUAUUUUUUAAUGACUCAUUCGGCACCUUACG